rnacentral:rRNA from 1 species
GACGAACGCUGGCGGCGUGCCUAAUACAUGCAAGUAGAACGCUGAAGGAGGAGCUUGCUCUUCUGGAUGAGUUGCGAACGGGUGAGUAACGCGUAGGUAACCUGCCUGGUAGUGGGGGAUAACUAUUGGAAACGAUAGCUAAUACCGCAUAAUAACAGUUGUUGCAUGACAACUGUUUGAAAGGUGCAAUUGCAUCACUACCAGAUGGACCUGCGUUGUAUUAGCUAGUUGGUGGGGUAACGGCUCACCAAGGCGACAAUACAUAGCCGACCUGAGAGGGUGAUCGGCCACACUGGGACUGAGACACGGCCCAGACUCCUACGGGAGGCAGCAGUAGGGAAUCUUCGGCAAUGGACGAAAGUCUGACCGAGCAACGCCGCGUGAGUGAAGAAGGGUUUCGGAUCGUAAAGCUCUGUUGUAAGAGAAGAACGAGUGUGAGAGUGGAAAGUUCACACUGUGACGGUAUCUUACCAGAAAGGGACGGCUAACUACGUG